GAAAUAUCUAAAAAGUAAGCUUCUAACUUAACUAUAAAGCACUCAGUGUUUAUAUUUCU
rnacentral:tRNA from 1 species